GCGAAACUGCGAAUGGCUCAUUAUAUAAGUUAUCGUUUAUUUGAUAGUACCUUACUACUUGGAUAACCGUGGUAAUUCUAGAGCUAAUACAUGCUAAAAAUCCCGACUUCGGAAGGGAUGUAUUUAUUAGAUUAAAAACCAAUGCCCUCCGGGGCUCACUGGUGAUUCAUGAUAACUCCUCGAAUCGCAUGGCCUUGCGCCGGCGAUGGUUCAUUCAAAUUUCUUCCCUAUCAACUUUCGAUGUUUGGGUAUUGGCCAAACAUGGUUGCAACGGGUAACGGAGGGUUAGGGCUCGACCCCGGAGAAGGAGCCUGAGAAACGGCUACUACAUCCAAGGAAGGCAGCAGGCGCGCAAAUUACCCAAUCCCGACUCGGGGAGGUAGUGACAAUAAAUACUGAUACAGGGCUCUUUUGGGUCUUGUAAUUGGAAUGAGUACAAUUUAAAUCCCUUAACGAGGAACAAUUGGAGGGCAAGUCUGGUGCCAGCAGCCGCGGUAAUUCCAGCUCCAAUAGCGUAUAUUAAAGUUGUUGUGGUUAAAAAGCUCGUAGUUGAACCUUGGGCCUGGCUGGCCGGUCCGCCUCACCGCGUGUACUGGUCCGGCCGGGCCUUUCCCUCUGUGGAACCCCAUGCCCUUCACUGGGUGUGGCGGGGAAACAGGACUUUUACUGUGAAAAAAUUAGAGUGCUCCAGGCAGGCCUAUGCUCGAAUACAUUAGCAUGGAAUAAUAGAAUAGGACGUGUGGUUCUAUUUUGUUGGUUUCUAGGACCGCCGUAAUGAUUAAUAGGGACAGUCGGGGGCAUCAGUAUUCAAUUGUCAGAGGUGAAAUUCUUGGAUUUAUUGAAGACUAACUACUGCGAAAGCAUUUGCCAAGGAUGUUUUCAUUAAUCAGAACGAAAGUUAGGGGAUCGAAGACGAUCAGAUACCGUCGUAGUCUAAACCAUAAACUAUGCGACUAGGGAUCGGACGGUGUAUAUUUUUGACCGAUCGCACUACGAGAAAUCAAAGUGCUGGGCUCAGGGGAGUAUGUCGCAAGGCUGAACUAAGGAAUUGACGAAGUCACCACCAAGGGGUGGAAGCAGCGCUUAAUUGACUCCACACGGAGAAACUCACCAGUCAGACACAAUGAGAUGACAGAUGAGAGCUCUUCUGAUUUGUGGGUGUGGUGCAUGACGUCUAAGUGGUGGAGUGAUUGUCUGCUACUGCGAUACGACGAGACCUUAACCUGCUAAAUAGCCCGUAUUGCUUUGGCAGUACGCUGGCUUCUUAGAGGGACUAUCGGCUCAAGCCGAUGGAAGUUGAGGCAAUAACAGGUCUGUGAUACCUUAGAUGUUUCUGGGCCGCACGCGCGCUACACUGACGGAGCCAGCGAGUACUUCCUUGGCCGAAAGGCCCGGGUAAUCUUGUUAAACUCCGUCGUGCUGGGGAUAGAGCAUUGCAAUUAUUGCUCUUCAACGAGGAAUCCCUAGUAAGCGCAAGUCAUCAGCUUGCGUUGAUUACGUCCCUGCCCUUUGUACACACCGCCCGUCGCUACUACCGAUUGAAUGGCUCAGUGAGGCGUUCGGACUGGCCCAGAGAGGUGGGCAACUACCACUCAGGGCCGGAAAGUUCUCCAAACUCGGUCAUUUAGAGGAAGUAAAAGUCGUAACAAGGUCUCCGUUGGUGAACCAGCGGAGGGAUCAUUA
rnacentral:rRNA from 1 species